AAGCUGAAAAGAAGUUUCAAAACCACAGUCUCCCCAGCAGACUUGUGGGUGCUUGUUGAAUACAAUCAUCCCUUCCUGUCCAGUCUGUCAUGACAGGGGCCCUUUAAGGCUUAGCUCAUGCUGUCAGAGAAAUGCUGCAGGCAAGCAGAAAACCAAGGCCAGACAGAAAAUCUCUGAACAGAAAUCUGCAUACAGGAUAACUUCAAAGCUGCUAGCUAAGAUGAUCCAUCCUCACAGACUGCUAGCCAGGACUUCAGUUAAGCCCUGCACUUUUCCAUCACAGAGAAACUGGACAACCAAUGAUACAACUAGCUCUCCCAAGACAUGACCAUUGUCCCAAUUUUCUCUGGGUCACCUGAAGAUGCCAUCACCCCCAGACAACAAGAAGCAAUUUUAAGAACAUGUCACUCACAUUCCUGAGAGGAGCCGGCAGUCUACAGAAAAGCUCAUUGCAUGCUCUCAUUUCCCAUGAUCCGCUGAAGCUCACUCAUGUCCCGGGUGAGCAGCGGGAUUGGCUGUAUUGUAUCUGCCUCUACUGUUCUGUCUAUCUGUGUCUCUCCUUGGAAGUCCCACCCAUUUUUCAAGUUCAGAUCUACCAUUGCAUCUAUCACCUGUACCACACAUGCAAUGGCUUG